AACGAACGCUGGCGGCAUGCCUAACACAUGCAAGUCGAACGAGACCUUCGGGUCUAGUGGCGCACGGGUGCGUAACGCGUGGGAACCUGCCCUUAGGUUCGGAAUAACUCCCCGAAAGGGGUGCUAAUACCGGAUAAUGUCUUCGGACCAAAGAUUUAUCGCCUUUGGAUGGGCCCGCGUUGGAUUAGCUAGUUGGUAGGGUAAAAGCCUACCAAGGCGACGAUCCAUAGCUGGUCUGAGAGGAUGAUCAGGCACACUGGGACUGAGACACGGCCCAGACGCCUACGGGAAGCAGCAGUGGGGAAUAGUGGAGCAUGGGCGUAAGCCUGAUCCAGCGAUGGCGCGUGGGUGAUGAUGGCGUUAGGGUUGUAAAGCUCUUUUACCCGAGAUGAUAAUGACGGUACCGGGAGAAUAAGCACCGGCUAACUACGUG
rnacentral:rRNA from 1 species